GACGAACGCUGGCGGCGUGCUUAACACAUGCAAGUCGAACGGAAAGGCCCUGCUUUUGUGGGGUGCUCGAGUGGCGAACGGGUGAGUAACACGUGAGUAACCUGCCCUUGACUUUGGGAUAACUUCUGGAAACUGGGGCUAAUACCGGAUAGGAUCUCCUGCUGCAUGGUGGGGGUUGGAAAGUUUCGGCGGUUGGGGCUCGACUCGCGGCUUAUCCGCUUGUUUGUGGGGUAGUGGCUUACCAAGGCUUUGACGGGUAGCCGGCCUGAGAGGGUGACCGGCCACAAUGGGACUGAGAGACGGCGCAGACUCCAACGGGAGGCAGCAGUGGGGAAUAUUGCACAAUGGGCGGAAGCCUGAUACAGCAACGCCGCGUGCGGGAUGACGGCCUACGAGGGGUAAACCGCUUUCGACUGAGACGAAGCGUGAGUGACGGUAAUGAGUAAAGAAGCACCGGCUAACUACGUG
rnacentral:rRNA from 1 species